GCCAUAAAAAUCAAAAGGAAGUGCUAUCAUAGCAGGCUGAUACGCAAAGCAGACGAAAUGCUUUUAAAAAGCUAUUUAUCGGUCCCUCUGUACAGUGUGUUUUAGAGAUUAUAAAAGAUUUACAUACGUAAAGCAAAACAUCUAAUUGCAUGCCUGCCCGUAAAAGUAUGAAAUAUAAAAUAUACAAUGCAGGCCAGACUGUCCACAGGAAUGUAAUUAAUUUGUUGCCCAAAUAUGUUGGUAAUUUAUUAAUUACACCAUCAAUGCCAGACAUUCCUGGCCGAUGUUUAUCAUUAAGCAAAAGAAAUAGCCAGACAAAAGCCCAAAGGGAAGCAGGCAAAGAGACUUUGGAGCAAUUAAUUGGGCGCCGUUGCGCACAGGUAUUUGAGGGUGCUUGUGUGUGUACGGCCCGGGUGGAGCGCAUAUAUGCCCAGCGCUUAAGUGCAGCAGCCUUUGGGCCAAGUGUUAAUGAUCAACAUAAGAAACAUAAAGGUUGCUACUGUAGUGUUGAGGGGGAGUGGAGCGGCAAAUAAUUAUUAAUUCAAGAGCCAAGCAAUGCACUUGAACAUGUCUCUGUUCAUGCCCAUGUAGAGAUUUUAUUGAAAUGCGUUCUGAUUGCAAUAAAAGAUGAAAAUAAAAUAAUAAAUGGAAUUUUUCGCGUGACAACUGCA